GAAACAUUUCAUUAAUCAAUCCUUUGAGAAGCAUAGUGAUAAGAAAAAUUUUACAUGGACAUCUAACUGCUAGCUGGGUUAAACAAAUUAUAAUGCUCAGUUCUCCAUCAACAAACAACCCUAAAUAUCAAAUGAAAUUUGUUCAGUACUUGUCCUUCCACAUAUUAUCCGAUCAUAGCUGUGAGGGAGCGAAAAACAACUUCUUCGCAA
rnacentral:misc_RNA from 1 species